rnacentral:misc_RNA from 1 species
CCUGGACGGUCGAUGCGACCUUUGAUGUUAUCGCCGCCGCGCGCGAUGACGCAGAGAAUGCCGUCCGCUUUCGCCGCGGCUGGUUCUUGGGCGAUGGCACCGGCGCGGGCAAGGGCCGGCAGGUCGCCGGGAUUCUGCUCGACAACUGGCUCAAGGGCCGCCGACGUGCCGUCUGGGUCAGCAAAUCCGACAAGCUGAUCGAGGACGCGCAGCGCGAUUGGUCCGCGCUCGGGAUGGAGCGCCUGCUCGUUACGCCCUUGUCCCGGUUUCGCCAGGGCACCCGGAUCCGGCUUG